AGUCAUCCAGUCUGACUGGCCACCUGGCUCUCACAUCCCAUCCAGAAUUUUCCUGUCAAGUGAUCCAGUUGUCUUAUACCUAAAAACAAAGCAACACCAACCUAAAAGACAGGCACACACAUUACUAACAAGCUCUGGAUCCUGUUAAAAGAGAACAUCAGUCACGAAGCACAGCGUGCUAUCAGGUGACAUAACAUGGGGCUGGCUGUUAAGGAGAAAACCAGUUACAAAAGAGCAACCUAAGAAGCGUCUUCCAGGGGCAACUCUGUCAACUGAGCUGGGAACUGACGCGCACAGGACAAGGGAGAAGAGAGAACACCUUGCAUUUCCAAGUAUCUCUGCAAAUACAAUUCUAGAGACGCUGAAACCGUUAGAUUUUGAUGCCCCUUCUGUCUAGUACUUAGGAUCAUUAUAUUGUGGGAAUGCUGUUAUUUGGACUGAUAAAGGAAGAGCUCCUCUCCAAACCCUUAGCCCUGGGUUAUCCAAGGACGAAUGAAAGUAAGGACAACACUGGAGGCAGAGACCAGGAAUUACGUUCUUAGUAUUCCGGGAAGACAGAAUAAA